rnacentral:lncRNA from 1 species
GGAUUCAGGGUGUCCAAAUCAGGACAGUGACAAGGGGUGCUCCCAGGAUGAUGGAAAAUGCAAGUGACCAGCCCAAAUGAAAGAAGGAGGACAGGAGGGAGGUCUGUGAGAAAAAAUGGAAUGGGCAGAUUAUCUGAGUUGCUUGGCGUAUGGAAAUUUUAAAAGGCUGCUGGAAGUUCUAAGAAAAGUUAUUGUUAGAUAUCCAGAAUACUAAGCAAAUUAAAAAAUAAAAAGUUGUCCGAGAAGAGACGCAUAUCUUGGUACACUGGCUCCGGGGAAUACAAAUCCUAUAAUCAUAAUAAAGUAAACAUUAAGUGUUAACUAAAGCAAGGGUUACAACUACAUGGAGCAGAAGAGGAAACAGGAAGUGCUUUUAAAAAGCCGACUUCUCAUUCUUCCCGCUGGUCAAUCGAUGAUGGGGAAACUGACAAAUGGAACUGACAUAGCAUCUAAGCUUGUUCUUUGGACAAAUGAAGUUAAAUACCAGAAAAAAAGUACAAAAGAGAGGUCGUGGUUGCCUCUGAGCAGAAGAGGAGCUGUUUUUUUUUUUUUUGGUUAAAGGUGUAUUUAGUACAAUUUGAGUCAAACUAAGAGCAAUCAUUACAUGGAGAAAAAUAACGACGAGGUUUAAAAAUUCUGCAUCUCAAGUAUGGACAGUUCGCAUGGACCCCGUCACCAUCAGCCAGUGUGACCAGAAGAAAAUCGCGGAAAGGAGCCUGGCCGCUGGGCAGGAGCAGGAGGGACCGAGGCUUGGGCUCUGGGUGGCCAGAUCUUCGAAGCACAUAGAGGACUGCAGGAUACAGAGAGACCGGGUCACAGGGCCCGGGACAAAGGCCCGGCCUCAAAGCGCGUGCGCUGGAGGACCGUCCUCAGAGAGCUGGGAUUUUAGAAGGUUAGAGCCUCUCUCUGGGAUUCUUCUCCGAGGCCCUGCGUGGAAGUCUUCAUCCUCCGUGACUCCUGUAGCGUUGGAAGUAUUUGACACUGUUGACCAUUCUCCCUCCUUGAACCGCUCCCUUCCCCUGGCGUUGGGCACCAGGGUCUGCGGGCUCCCCCCCUGCUUCCUGAGCAACUCUUUCUCCUUCACUCAUUCCUCUUCUGCGUGACAAAUGUGGGUUUCCCCUCGAGUUUA